AGUGGAAUUGUUGGGUCAUAUGGUAAGUAUAUGUUUAAUUUUACAGGAAAUUGCUAAACUGUUUUCCAAAUUGGCUGUACCAUUUUUACAGUACUACCAGCAAU
rnacentral:pre_miRNA from 1 species